AAGCCCCGAGGUGUUAACAUAUAAGAUUGCAAAUCUUAAGUAGCAGAGUAGAGCCUGCCGGGGCUU
rnacentral:tRNA from 1 species